rnacentral:rRNA from 1 species
AGGACUAACGCUGGCGGCGUGCCUAACACAUGCAAGUCGAACGAAGUAGCAAUACUUAGUGGCAGACGGGUGAGUAACACGUAGUCAACCUGCCCUUCAAUGGGGGAUAACUAGCCGAAAGGUUAGCUAAUACCGCAUACGAUCUCUGAGUGGCAUCACUCGGCGAUGAAAGGAGUAAUCCGUUGAAGGAGGGGACUGCGUCCCAUUAGUUAGUUGGUGGGGUAAUGGCCUACCAAGACUCCGAUGGGUAGCUGGCUUGAGAGAGCGACCAGCCACACUGGAACUGAGACACGGUCCAGACUCCUACGGGAGGCAGCAGUGAGGAAUUUUCCGCAAUGGGGGAAACCCUGACGGAGCGACGCCGCGUGUGGGAAGAAGGCCUUCGGGUCGUAAACCACUGUCGAGGGGGAAGAUAAUGACGGUACCCUUGGAGGAAGCCCCGGCUAACUACGUGCCAGCAGCCGC